AUGGGUCAGCAACACUUGGAAAAUGCAACUUCAGUAGCAAGCCUUUUGCAUCAGCUGAGAGAUGUGUGGAAGAGUCCUAGGGGGACAGUGCUCCGAAUUGAGGCGUUAGCACUUCUGGCCAUUUUCCUCUCCUUUUUCCUUUCUGUCUUUGGGUCUUGCCGCCGUUGGUCCAAUAAUUUUCUCAUCCAGAAGGGUUUCAUGGCUGCAAAUGCAUUGUUUCUGUCCCUUGGAACAUACAGCAUUGGCCUAAUGCAAUCUUCGCGAGUGAAGAGCGAGAUGUACCCAAUAUGGGCAGUAUCGUUACUGGCCCUCCUUUGUUGUGUUGACUCAGUUGCUUCAUCCGGGCUCGACAGUAGGAACCAGCUCUGGAAGAUGUUGUAUCAGCUUUGCCUCUACUUUGGAUAUGUCCUACUAAUGAGCAUCACAACCAUCUCUAGUGAUAUUGGUAGCAUAGCCAUCUGCGUCUUGUCUGCUGUGACUUUCAUCAAGGGAUUUCAUAGGUCAAUGGCACUUGUGCUGCCAAGUUCUAUGCGGAACAUGAUCAGAGAGUUUCCAGGAUAUAGCAUUACAAAAUGUUCUUUUGGAGAUCCUAAUGAAGAAAGAGAGUUAACUGUUGAUGAUAAACUUGACGUAAUGAUUGGGUAUCGUAUGGAGAUUAACAUGGGUGUUAUAGCUUCCAUGAGGUGUAAGGGAAACAAUAAGAUGCUAGAAUCAAAACUAAAUUCCUGCAAAGAUGUGUGCCUCUCCUUCUCUCUCUCUCAUUUGUUGCACCGUCAUUUUCUAGGGUUAAGCAGCGUUAAACCAGUCAAGGCCAGCCUUGCCCAGCCCUUGGUAAAAAACUGCAAACGUGCCUUAAAGGUGGUUGAGAUUGAGUUGGCUUUCCUACAUGAUAUUUUGUACACCAGCAACACGUUCCUCCAUUACUAUGAGGCGAAGAGUGCUAGCAUAUGGGCAUUUGCUUCAGUUAUUGGGAUAUGUUUUGUAGGGGCAGUGGCUGUCAUGCCUGGGGCAAGGUCAAGUCGUCGUGCUUCUCCUGACACCAUCUUUGUGGACACCACAAUAGUGGACUUUGUUAUUACCGGAGUAGUACUGGUGUCUCUAGCUCUACUGCAGGUGUUGCAGUUGCUAAGCUGUUGGACCUCGAAUUGGGCCAGAGUUGCCUUUGCCUGUGAUUAUGCUAGGAAAAACAUUGAAGAAGAGGUUGUGCUUAGCUGGGGAAUGAGAUUGAGAGCAUCUCUUCUCAAGAUUAAUUGGUAUGACAAAUACUACCUGUGGCAAAAUAAGUUGGGGCAACAUGCUAGGUGUUUUGGUCUACUUGGACUGCAGUACAUAAGCCGAGAGCUCAAGGAAAUGUUGCGGGGCAGUUGCACAGGGAGCGCCGUUGAGUUGCACCCUGAUGUAAAGGCAUCCAUUGGUGACUUUGUUGACAAUGAGAUCAAGUCCAAUGAAAUAAGUAGUUGGGCAUCCUCCAAAGUUGAAAAUGGACAGAGUGGCUUUCCAGACUUCUCUUUCAGCUUUACGGUAGAUGAUGCGGCAGAUAAUGCUGCUGAGGUGAGUGAUAUGAUCUACGUGUCUUGUAUCCUCAUUUGGCAUGUUGCAACUUGCUACUGUGAACUGGCACAGCAAUGUGACAGCAGCAAUGGCGGUGGCCAUCAUGUUACUAUGGAGAAGGAUCAUCGUCGUGUGGCCAUGGAUCUGUCCAAAUACUGUGCAUACUUGACUAUAAAUUUGGUCUACGGUCAGGUUAGGGAAGAGGCAACUAGGGUUGGAUUCAGGUUCUCAUCCGCUGCUGCAGGAGACAAGCUAGAGGCAAUGGACACAAAGUGCGCCGAGGAUGACUACAUCUAUGGGAUGGGUGUAAAGCUGGGAAAGGGACUACAAAGCAUGGAUGAUGCUGAGAGGUGGAAGGUGCUGGCAGACUUCUGGGUCAAGGCGUUGGUGUAUGCCGCGCCAUCGGACAAUGUGGAGGAGCACAUGCAGCAACUCUCGCAGGGUGGUGAGCUCAUCACCCAUCUCUGGGCUAUGCUCUAUCACGCCGGCAUCCACAAGUGGCAGCUGAAUCCGCCUGCACCAAAUGACAUCAACAUGGGGUGGGAUUACAUUUUUCGGAUUCGCUCCUGGAAAGACCUUGAGCCUUCUCACAAGGUACGCUAG
rnacentral:rRNA from 1 species